rfam:Lupinus angustifolius cultivar Tanjil contig_18455, whole genome shotgun sequence.
CGCGGGGUAGAGCAGUUCGGUAGCUCACAAGGCUCAUAACCUUGAGGUCACAGGUUCAAAUCUCGUCUCCGCAA